rnacentral:rRNA from 1 species
CGGUGAUUGGGGUGAAGUCGUAACAAGGUAGCUGUGGGUGAACCUGCAGAAGGAUCA